GCCAGACUCCUACGGGAGGCAGCAGUGGGGAAUAUUGCACAAUGGGGGGAACCCUGAUGCAGCAAUGCCGCGUGGGUGAAGAAGUACCCCGGUAUGUAAAGCUCUGUCAGCAGGGAAGAAAGAAAUGACGGUACCUGACCAAGAAGCCCCGGCUAACUACGUGCCAGCAGCCGCGGUAAUACGUAGGGGGCAAGCGUUAUCCGGAAUUACUGGGUGUAAAGGGAGCGUAGACGGUUAAGUAAGUCUGGAGUGAAAGGCCGGGGCCCAACCCCGGGACUGCUCUGGAAACUAUUCAACUUGAGUGCAGGAGAGGUAAGCGGAAUUCCUAGUGUAGCGGUGAAAUGCGUAGAUAUUAGGAGGAACACCAGUGGCGAAGGCGGCGUACUGGACUGUAACUGACGUUGAGGCUCGAAAGCGUGGGGAGCAAACAGGAUUAGAUACCCUUGUAGUA
rnacentral:rRNA from 1 species